UGCCAGCCGCCGCGGUAAUACGGAGGGAUCGAACGUUAAUCGGAAUUACUGGGCGUAAAGCGCGCGUAGGUGGUUUGUUAAGUGGGAUGUGAAAGCCCCGGGCUUAACCUGGGAACUGCAUUCCAAACUGACAAGCUAGAGUACGAUAGAGGGGGGUAGAAUUCAGAGUGUAGCGGUGGAAUGCGUAGAUAUUAUGAAGAAUACCAGUGGCGAAGGCGGCCUCCUGGAUCUGUACUGACACUGAGGUGCGAAAGCGUGGGUAGCGAACAGGAUUAGAUA
rnacentral:rRNA from 1 species